rnacentral:rRNA from 1 species
UACGGGGGGGGCAAGCGUUGUUCGGAAUUACUGGGCGUAAAGGGCUCGUAGGCUGCCAACUAAGUCAGACGUGAAAUCCCUCGGCUUAACCGGGGAACUGCGUCUGAUACUGGAUGGCUUGAGAUUGGGAGAGGGAUGCGGAAUUCCAGGUGUAGCGGUGAAAUGCGUAGAUAUCUGGAGGAACACCGGUGGCGAAGGCGGCAAGUCCUGGACCAACACUGACGCUGAUGAGCGAAAGCCAGGGGAGCAAACGGG